rnacentral:rRNA from 1 species
GACGAACGCUGGCGGCGUGCUUUAGACAUGCAAGUCGAACGAGAUCUUCGGAUCUAGUGGCGAACGGCGGAGUAAUACAUAAACAACGUGCCCUGAAGACUGGGAUAUACGGUCGAAAGGCCGAGCAAUACCGGAUGUGGCCGAGACUAGGCAUCUAGACUCGAUUAAAUGGUUUUCGCUUCAGGAGCGGUUUAUGACUCAUCAGCUAGUUGGUAGGGUAAUGGCCUACCAAGGCUACGACGGGUAGGGGGUCUGAGAGGAUGAUCCCCCCGAGUGGGACUGAGACACGGCCCACACACCUACGGGUGGCAGCAGUUUGGAAUCUUGCCCAAUGGGGGAAACCCUGAGGCAGCGACGCCGCGUGGAGGAUGAAGGAUUUAGGUCUGUAAACUCCUUUUGCCAGGAAAGACUUAGGACGGUACCUGGCGAAUAAGCUCCGGCUAACUACGUGCCAGCAG